CCCAACGUUACUUACCUGAACAGGUUACUCCAGCCACUGUUAAAAAGGCAUCUUUGUCAUUCAGCUGAAGGAAUAUAUUUUACAGAAUGCUUGAAGGACUCUUCGCUGGAUUAGAGGGUUGGGUGAACUUUCAGAUGAACAGCUGUCUGUCAGCCGUGACCCGGAUGUAACGUUCUUUCCGAGGCUAAGGUGUCGAUAUUAUUUCCUGUCGGAAAUUAAAAUGAUACAAAUUUGACUCACA